ensembl:lncRNA
GAGGAAAUGAAGAGUGAGAUGAAAGACAGACACAAAUGAGAGCGCGAGAGAUGAGGCGAGAUAAGAAUGUUAGCUCAGUGGUUACGUUUCUAAUGUAGAGACUGGAAGAUGAGUGAGCCACUUCUGGAUCCUUGAGCAAGAAUCUUAACCCUUAACUGCUCAUGGGGGUCAGUGAGACUGAGACUGAGAAGAGUAAAUAAAUAAAUAAAUAAAUAAAUAAAAUAAUAAAAAUGAGGAGGCAGGGCCAGCUGUCUGAAACGGAUCAAUGCUGAGAUAUAAAGAAACAGGAAGCAGUAUUAUAAUGUUUAACCAUUAGUCGAUCUUGUUCUCCCUUUAAAACCAUCAUCCCCAACAUCCACCCACCCACACAGAAGCGCGCGCGCACACACACACACACACACACACACCACUGAGCAGUUCGAAUGACAAAUAUCCUUCACACAAACAGGUAAUGUACAUACAUGUGCAUGUAGAUUAUAGGCAAGACAGCUACUGAGAUAAGUUUAAAGACUACUCUUAUUCCUCGAAUGUAAACAAGACUGUGUUCAGUGUUGAUCAAUUUUGGUGAAGUUACAGCUGUAGAAAAAGAAUGCUUCCUGCUCUUGCAUGCACAAACGUGUGUGUGUGUGUGUGUGUGUGUGUGUGUGUGUGUGUGAAUAUUUGCAGCUUUGCUGCCCUUCUAAUUCACUCUCUCUCUCACACACACACACACACACACACACACACAGAGAGAGAGAGAGAGAGAGAGAGAGAGAGAGAGAGAGAGCAGACACUAGAUUCACAUGCAUCAAUAAUAAACUCCAAAGCCUUACCUCAUUCUCUGUAGCCUUCUGUUUGUCACUCUCCCUCUCUUUCUUCCUCUCCUCCUCCCUCCCUCACCCUCUGCACACAGAGAACACUGUGUUUGAGUCACACAGAUUCCACGGACCAAAUUUGAUUUCUCUCCCUGUGACACAUUCAACACAGUCGGCUCGCUCUCCUCCUGUUCCUCCCUCCCUCUCUCGCUCUUUCUCACUGAGGGUCACGGGGAAACCUGGAGCCUAUCCCAGGGAGCAUCGGGCACGAGGCAGGGUACACCCUGGACAGGGUGCCAAUCCAUCGCAGGGCACAAGGGAAGUAACAUUUUAUUUUUUGUAGUAGCUUAACACAGGAGUUUUAAAAAAUAAACAUCAUCAUUAAUAUUAUAAAUAUGUAUACAUUCUACAUUUCCCAGUUUUCAUUAUUCCCGUUUAAAAAAAAAUUGUUACAGAAGUACAUCUCAUGUAUACAGUAUAUGAAUAAUAACAGCAACAACACCACCACCACCACCACCACCACCAACAACA